CAUAGUAGUAUAAUUCAGUCUCUUUUCCUUCCCCUCUUUCUCAAUCUCUCUAUUUAUUGGAGUAUUAUGCGAGAAAAAACAUUCCAAAUUUAUCCAAGAGAAUUAUGACGAGUCUCUCUCAAAAGUCUCAAUUAAAUUAACUUUGUUUUCCUUCUUGAUGCAGCUGGCUAGCUUAUCAAAUUGACAAACUCAAGAAGAUAUUGUGGUUCUUUCAACUUCAAUAGAAGAGCCAGUUUGUCCUUCUCAAGCUCUAGUACUCCUGUGCAGAAUAUAAAGCUAAUUAAGAUGUACCCUUCAAGCAAUUACAGCCCCAAUAUUCCCUCCUCUUUAUACCACAUACCAUCUCCUUUUAUGCAAUACGAACACGAAUUCUUCCCAUAUAUCCAUGACCAUAAUCUCUUUCAAAUAGCUCAUGAUCAAAAUAAUCUCGAUACCAACAUGGCAGAAGAUUCAAAGAAAUUAGAUAAACAUGAACAAGAUGAAGAAUUAGUACUAAAAGACUGCAACAAGAAAGAUGAUACGAGCAGUACAAUGACUAGUACUGUUCGUAAAAAAAACAACAAGAGAGUUGCUGCUGCUGGUGCUGCUACAAAGAAAGAUAGACACUCCAAGAUUAACACAGCUCACGGUCCUAGAGACCGAAGAAUGAGACUUUCCCUUGAAGUUGCUCGCAAAUUCUUCAAUUUGCAAGACUUGCUCCGGUUCGAUAAGGCCAGCAAAACUGUGGAGUGGUUGCUUACAAAGUCAAAAUCAGCAAUCAACGAGCUCAUCGAGAAAAUAAACAAAGAGAACUUCACCAGUACUCCUAUUAGUGCAUCGUCUGCCUCCGAGUCAUGUGAAGUUAUAUCGGGAGUAAUUGACGAAUCUGCAGCCACUAAUAAUGACAUUCAUAAGCAACAUAAGAAAAAGGUUAAGUCGAUUCGUAGAGCUGCAUUAAUUCAUCCGGUUGUUGCAAAGGAAUCAAGGAAGCAAGCAAGAGCAAGGGCAAGGAAAAGAGUACAAAUAAAGAAAAGCCUUAAUAGUAUUGGUGAAACUAUGGCCGAUGACUUCCUUGAAGAUCAUCAAUCAGGUAAUUAUCAAGGCUAUAAUCCUAACAAUAUUAUGAAUCAUCAUCAUCAUGAGAAGCAGCAUAUUUUGGGUACUAAGGAGAAUGUUGUUGAUAACUCUAAUUUAUUGCUGGUGGAUACUGGCAACUGGAGCCCGUUUACUAUCAACAACUAUCACCCCAUGAAUACUGAAAUUUCUCAAGAGCAUCAAUUUACGAACUUCCAGUAUUCUGGGAAGUUAUGGGAAGCUUAGGGCAAGGAAUUAAAUUCUCUGCGGCAACGUAUUCUUCUUAAUUUAGUGCAACUCCAGAAGGAAGGCUAUUUGGUCCUGUUGAUUUAUAGUCACAAAAGCCAGUGUUGUAAUAUUGGGGAUGACAUACUAGGUUACAUUCAUAGUAUUUGGUCUUACUAAUAAGAAGUCACAUAUGAGGGACGCUAACUAGUAACUUUUCCACUAUUUCUAGACGGAAUUAUCAGGUAGGAGACAGAUACUAAGAGAUGCCGUUUACUUCCAUUAAGAUUUGCUAGCACUAACUGAUUUAGUUCCUAGAAAGCCUUCCUCAAAAUACAAUCUUCACGAGAACACUCUAUUAUGUCAAUUGUAACUAAUUAAGCAGAAAAAGAGAGAAACUCAAAAGCCGGAUCAUAGAGAAAAUCAGGAAUUAAAUGGAUCUCUCAGUGAAAUCUCAGCUAGUCACUUUUCGACAUAUAUCAAUGAUAUUAAACUCCAUUUUCAUUCUAUCAUAGUAUUAAAAAAAGGAGGAAUUAUUGGGAAAAAAAUACUAGCUACUUACAAAAUUUAACAUAAUUAACUAACUCAUGGCAUACAUUAUUUCUCAAUGAUCG